rnacentral:lncRNA from 1 species
UUUUCUCAUUCCUGUGAUACAGAUUUCCGAACGGGUUAACACUUAACCCAAGUCGCAUGGCCAUGCCUUCCGAAUCUGAUCACUCGAGAGGGCCCAGAGAUAUCUCUCCGAACAGGAGGGGCAAAUCCCAUCUUGAUCAACCAUGACUCGCAGCAUGCUUCUCAGCAAACCCGAAAGCUACCUUUAUAACCACCCAGUUAUGGAGUAGCGUUUGGCAACCCCUAAGUAGGC